rnacentral:lncRNA from 1 species
GUGCGAGUAUACAAGACAGCAUUGCCCCAACAUCUCCUGUAGUCUAUGGAAAUGUCAAUGAAAAAGUGACGAUCUCUUGUAAAUACGACUACACUGUGUCAAUGAAUAAUCUACAGUGGUAUCGACAUUAUCUCGACUCUAUGCCGGAAUUUCUUGUUCUAAUCAUGGAGUCGGGACAAAAUCAAACGGCUACACCUCCUCAUCCUCGGCUGACAGCUUCAGUUAAUAAAGAUAACAAAAUGGUGAAUCUGGAAAUCUUUCCUGCAGAUGUGAAGGACUCUGCUGCGUAUUACUGUGCACUGCAGCCCACAGUGGCAGGAAACGCAUGAACACCAUACAAAAACCUACUCAGAGCUCAACAGAGAACAAAUGGUUAAGAUCAACCUAUGAGACCAGAGUGUGCACAAUUGCCACAAGGUGGCAGCACUUUUUUAUGACGCUUAACAUCAUAAGCAUGUGUACAAAGUUGACAUGUGACAAGUAUUAGGAUGUGACUUUAAAAGAUUGUGAACAGUAUACACAGCCGAUCAGUAAAUUCAGGAUGAAGAGAUCAGUAGUACUAAUUCUAAUACUAAUAGCUUCAUCAGUUGCUUUUGGUGAUCGCAUUGAACCAAAUCAAGUUGUUAUUAUUCAAGAUGAAACCAACCGGGUGACAUUGAGUUGCUCAUAUGAAACAAGCAGUGAAGACAUUGAUCUUUAUUGGUACAGACAGUAUCCUAACAGUGAGCCACAGUAUAUACUGUGGAAAGGUGCACGAUCAAGAGAUGGUGAGAGUGAUAUACCCGAUCCUCAUUUUGAAUCUUCAACAACCAGAACAUCUACUGAACUGAUUAUUAAAGCAGCCACUCUGAAAGAUUCAGCUCUCUAUUACUGCGCUCUUUGGAAAGACCCAGUGAUACAAAGUUUCUGAGAAGCUUUACAAAAACACACCUACUUUGAACUCAAAAACAUCAAAGUUUAGUCAAACCAAAAUGUAUUAUCUGCCAUAACUAUUAAUGUAUGUGGGAACACCUGCAGCUGAUACAGUAGGCAAAACCAAGAGAUUAAUAGAUUCAAAAAAGCAGUUGUACUGUGAAUACAAAUGUGUUGAAAUCCAGAACAUGUACAUACAGAAUGAUAUUGCUCUAGAUUAUUGACCUAAAUCUUAAAUAUCCAUGUAAAAAUCCAUGUCAUUUCUCAGAAAGAUACAACAAAUUCAAACCAUUAGACAAAUUGUUAAAACCACAAUUAAACAAGUAAGAAACAAGUUCAAAGAUUUAUAGUUUGUAACUAAGUUUAAUCACUAGUGUCUAGAUGUACUGUAUUCUGUUUUGGUGUUGAAUUUGGGUCUGAUUUUGCUGUAUAAUAAAAUAAAAUAUCCAGCUUGAAUUUAUUAUGUUAACAUGUUUGUUCUGCAAAUCAUUUAGAGGCUUUUUUUUUAAACUGGACCCACAACUCUAGACCUAAAACGUGUGUUUGGGGUCAGUAGGAGGGGCUUUAGUGUUUUGACACCAUCUAGGCCAUCCUGAGGAUGUGGUUUUGAAAUAGAUUAGCUACAAGCAGAGCUGUCAGUCAGAACAUCGGCCUGAACAAUGUUGCUCUGUUUACUUAGCUUUCUAUCUACAUUUGGUGGUGAGUAGCUCAAUUUCUGUUUGAUUUUAUUACUUUUAAUUUUAACCACAAACAUUUCAGAUUUUUCUUCAUUAGAACAUUACAAAACAAUGCUCCUGAGGUCAGGUUCACCAAGGUCAACCAAAAUACAACAUUGUAAUAAACCUACAUUAACAAA